AUGGAUUUCUGCCUGUUCUAAGUCACUGUGAUUUAGAACACAGACAGCAAUAUAUGUUCUUUUUAGAACAUGUAGAUGCCUGUGAACUAAUGGCUGGUCUGAGAAUCGUUGAGGGGACCAAAUAGCAAAGGAUCAAAGUCCGAAUGAAAUAGGACCGCCUUCCUAACUCAAGCCUACUGUGACAUCACCCUGCACUAUUCCAUUUUUCAUUUUCCCCCAAGGUAAAGUCCCUGAUUACAUUUGACAAAAAGGCUGUAGAACAAGAAGAGCAGUGAUGUUAGAGCACUUAAAGAAUGAUGAGAGAAUUAAGUUCAGGCAAUGAAAGCAGCCGGGCCAAGCUGACAUAACUAGGUAAUGGUAAAACAGAACCGGUUAAUAAGGAAGGAGGCUUGGAUCCAAGGCUUCUGGCUCCAAGGUUUAUUUCCCUUUUGUAUCAGGUGUUCCCAGGAAUGAAAGAUUGAUGAAGGCUCUGUUAGAGGGGUGGUGUUCCAGCUGCGCCUUAAAGCAAAGGUCAAGUUUGAAUUGAUAGAGGUGAGAAAGGAAGACAUUCCAGAUGAGAACAGCAUUGUAAGGGAAUUCCUAAGGGUGAAAGGAAGCAAGGUGUGCAUUUUCAUUUUGUUUGUGAAAAUAUAGUACGAGCGUCUUAACCUAAAGAGCUGAGAGGCGGUUUUAGAAAAUGUCUUGAAUUUUCAUCUCCUUUCUGAUUUUGCUGACCUUGUCAUUGUUGACUUGUUAAGAGCAUUAGUGACAGUAAUGAUCAUUAGACAAUAACAGAAAAAAUAAUGAUGAUAUCUCAGUAAUCUCCUUGUCAUAUUACGUAUCGAAUCUGCACUUAUA